AGGGUUGUGGCUCAGAGGUAGAGUGCUCACCUUGCAUGUGUGAGACCUUGGGUUCGAUCCUCAGCACCCCAU
rfam:Ictidomys tridecemlineatus contig080114, whole genome shotgun sequence.